GUUGAACUGGCCAGCUGAUUCAUGCAGUCCGAGUCACUUAUAAUAAGCACGCAUUUUAGAUAUCGCAUUAAAUAUGCCAAAGUCUACUGAUUCAGAGUUGAAGAGAGCAGUCUUACUCAACGAUAACAUCUAUUGAAGUGAAACCAAACUGUCAUAAGCCAAAACCUACAUCGAAGUGCAAAGCCCGUAUAAUUCGUUACUACUUCAACACAGUCACUCAGAGAUGUGAAAAGUUUAUUUAUGGUGGCUGCAACAGCAAUGGAAAUAACUAUAG